rnacentral:rRNA from 1 species
UACGUAGGGUGCAAGCGUUGUCCGGAAUUAUUGGGCGUAAAGAGCUCGUAGGCGGUUUGUUGCGUCGGCUGUGAAAUCCCGAGGCUCAACCUCGGGUCUGCAGUCGAUACGAGCAAACUAGAGUGUUGCAGGGGAGACUGGAAUUCCUGGUGUAGCGGUGAAAGUGCGCAGAUAUCAGGAGGAACACCGGUGGCGAAGGCGGGUCUCUGGGCAACAACUGACGCUGGAGGAAGCGAAAGCGUGGGGAGCGAACAGG